rnacentral:rRNA from 1 species
GAUCAUGGCUCAGGAUGAACGCUAGCUACAGGCUUAACACAUGCAAGUCGAGGGGCAGCGGGAUUGAAGCUUGCUUCAAUUGCCGGCGACCGGCGCACGGGUGAGUAACGCGUAUCCAACCUUCCGCUUACUCGGGGAUAGCCUUUCGAAAGAAAGAUUAAUACCCGAUGGUAUCUUAAGCACGUAUGAGAUUAAGAUUAAAGAUUUAUCGGUAAGCGAUGGGGAUGCGUUCCAUUAGGCAGUUGGG